ensembl:lncRNA
GUUAAUUACUAUGAAUCAGAUUUGCUCUACAUGUAAACACAGGUUUCAGAUUCCCAGUUCAGAUACCAAGUUUUUGGGGAAAAGUCACAGGAUCUCUAAUGAUGGUGUAAAGAAAAGCACCGGCAAGUAAGAAAAACAAUAUCUGGAUCGUUUCCAAAUAUCCAGAUCCGUUCAGAGUUUCAUCAUGUGAACUGAACAUUAAUCCAGUUUGAAUCCGGUUGUGGAGCAGCUGUCUAAACAGACCAGAACAAACAGAACUAUGUGUCGUCAAACGCUGCUGAUGAUUUCAGGAGUUAUUUGAACACAAGCUGUUUUUCCAUUAUUAAAGUCAAUACUGAUAAGACUCAAGAUCAACAUUAAAGGAUACCACACACACACACACACACACUACGUUAUUGCAGAUAUCCUACAUAAAUCAUUUUAUGGUUCUACACAUUAAAUUGCUGAUGCUAAUAAGGAUAUCUACAUGUCUAUCAACUGAUAGACCCUGAUAUAUUAAAAAAUUGCUAAAUUAUGUGUAUUUAUGAGCCAUAUCUGAAACUUAAGAUUUAACCUGAGAUGUACAUAAACUCCUAUUUUAACCGAAAUGUCAUUAAAAUUCACAUAAUGUAUAAUAAUUAUUCAUACAGUAAUUCAUAAUUUUGUUUAGUCCAUCAUCUACCUCUGUUACCAACUAGACAUGGUUUCUGCUCAUUCCAAGUGAUAUGUAAAUAUCUCCUCAUUAACAGCUCUGGCCAGUUUAGUGUUAAGACUAGAUUUACUGUAUGAUCAGGAAAAGGUUUUGUUGUUGUUGUUGUUUUUUAAUGGGAAAAUUUAGUAAAGUCCACACACUUGUUUGUUUUUUAAUAAGGCAUACAAUAAUAAAGUGGUUUUCUGCUGCAUGUUUGUGAAUUUUUUUUUUGUUGUAUAUUACUGUGAUUAUGUAAAAUAUUAUGGAAUGCUGUUUUGUUUUUAUCACUUUGUUGCAUUGAAUGUAUUCACCAACAGAAAUAAAAAUACAUCCAUAUCCAG